rnacentral:rRNA from 1 species
CUACGGGCCGCUCCAGUGAGGAAUAUUGCACAAUGGGGGGAACCCUGAUGCAGCAACGCCGCGUGGAGGAUGACGCAUUUCGGUGUGUAAACUCCUUUUAUAUGUCAAGAAAAUGACGGUAGCAUAUGAAUAAGCACCGGCUAACUCCGUGCCAGCAGCCGCGGGUAAUACGGAAGGUGCAAGCGUUACUCGGAAUCACUGGGCGUAAGGGACGCGUAGGCGGGUUGGAAAGUCAGGUGUGAAAUCCUACAGCUUAACUGUAGAACUGCACUUGAAACUUCUAAUCUAGAGUAUGGGAGGGGGAGAUGGAAUUAGUGGUGUAGGGGUAAAAUCCGUAGAUAUCACUAGGAAUACCUAAAGCGAAGGCGAUCUCCUGGAACAUUACUGACGCUAAGGCGUGAAAGCGUGGGGAGCAAACAGGAUUAGAUACCCGAGUAGUC